rnacentral:rRNA from 1 species
UACGACUACAUAUCAGGCAUAUCAAUAAGCGGAGGAAAAGAAACUAACAAGGAUUCCCUUAGUAACGGCGAGUGAAGCGGGAAGAGCUCAAAUUUGGAAUCUUCAAGGUUCUACCUUGACGAAUUGUAGUUUAAAGAAGUGUUUUCUGUUAGAUGAGUAGCAAAAGUUCCUUGGAAUGGGACAUCAUAGAGGGUGGGAAUCCCGUAUUUGGUUAUUCAUUCUAGCUUUGUGAUACACUUUCAAAGAGUCGGAUUGUUUGGGAAUGCAGUCCAAAAUGGGUGGUAAAUUUCAUCUAAAGCUAAAUAUUGGCGAGAGACCGAUAGCGAACAAGUACCGUGAGGGAAAGAUGAAAAGAACUUUGAAAAGAGAGUUAAACAGUACGUGAAAUUGUCAAAAGGGAAGCGUUUGACACCAGUGUUGUUUUUCCGAAAAUCAAUUACGAAUGGCUUGAUUUUGUGUUGUAUUGACCUUAUCAGCUUUCUGCACUUUUUUCGAGUCUUUCUUAAUGCACUUUUCGGUUAACAAGUCAACAUCAAUUUCUUUUGUUGUAAAAGAGUAUUCGGAAGGUGGCUUUCUUUUCGGAGAAAGUGUUUAUAGCCCUAUACUUCUACAAUCGGAGAGAUUGAGGUCUGCAGCGUAGAUCCUUCGGGGUUAGAUACACUUGUGCUAAGUUGCAGCUUUUCAUAGACAACUUGUUGACUAUGUUUAGUCAUGCGGCUUACUCGCUUGUGCUAUUUUACCUACGCUUAGGAUGUUGAGUAGCGACAUACGCAC